CCAGCACAUAAUGGUGGGCGACUCUGUGGAGACUGCCCGGGUUAACCGGGAGGGAAGGUGGGGGAUGACGUCAAGUCAUCAUGGCCCUUACGCCUAGGGCUACACACGUACUACAAUGGUGGGUACAAAGGGCAGCGAAACCGCGAGGUCGAGCGAAUCUCAAAAAACCCAUCAUAGUCCGGAUUGCAGUCUGCAACUCGACUGCAUGAAGUUGGAAUCGCUAGUAAUCCCGGAUCAGCAUGCCGGGGUGAAUACGUUCCCGGGCCUU
rnacentral:rRNA from 1 species